UACAGAGGUCUCAAGCGUUGUUCGGAUUCAUUGGGCGUAAAGGGUGCGUAGGCGGCGCGGUAAGUCGGGUGUGAAAUCUCGGAGCUUAACUCCGAAACUGCAUUCGAUACUGCCGUGCUUGAGGACUGGAGAGGAGACUGGAAUUUACGGUGUAGCGGUGAAAUUCGUAGAUAUUCGCAAGAACACCAGUGGCGAAGGCGGCUCACUGGCCCGGUACUGACGCUGAGGCACGAAAGCGUGGGGAGCAAACAGG
rnacentral:rRNA from 1 species